GGAAGGUGGAGAUUUGUUCUGAGGGUUUUUCUGCUCUUCUGGUGAGUCAGAGCUACAGGAGGUUUUGCAGAGUCUUUCCUGACCAGGUUUCUGAAGCUGCCUGGAUGAUAUGAAGAAAAGAUAAACCCUCUGAAACAGCAGCCACCUUUUUUGAGCUGAGAUUGGAAUUUAAGGCAUUUUUUAGGGUACACAAAAGGGGGUUUCAGGCUGUCCUGGAGCCAUGCUCUGCCAGAGCUGUAGGUGUGCUUUUUCUUGCUCUGUGGCUGAAGCCCAUUGAUCAUGGCAGCUCCAGGCCCCCUUCCCUUCUGCCUUGUGCCCUGGGGAGCCUGUCCUGGCUGAGCAGGGCUUGCUGGCUGCUGGAGACUAUCCUGCCCAGCAGGUCAGGCUGGUGGCUGCAGCACUCUGGAGUUUUGUCCCUGUCCUCUGCCCACGGAGAGCCUGUUGUCAGGUUGUCCAACAAAACUGAGCACCAUUAAUUGUCAUUCUUGGAAUAAGCAACAACAUAAUUUAUCAAUGUGGCAAUAACAGUAAUGUUUGUAUUUCCCAGUCUUGAAACAAACUCUUGGAUUGGAGAUGACAGCAUUAUAAUUGAAAAUAAUGGUGAGACACUGACCCCAGCUCCAGCUGGGCAGGGGAACCACGGGGCAGCAUCUCUGCAGAGCAUCCCCACUGCAGCCAAGAACCAAAUGAGAAUUUUGGAUCUUCCAGCCUGGGUUUGGGGCAGGAGCAGAAGGCAAGGGCUUUGAAGGUGGCAGCUGCACUCAGAGAGGACUCUGGGUGUCAGGGUGGGGUCCAGCUCCUCACAGCCAUUUACACCUUCUCCUUGGAUCCUCAUUUCACUCCCAGAACAACCUUUCCAGAAGAGACUCCAGGAGCUGCAGCCCAAUAUUUCAGUGCUGUGUGCAGGACCAAGCAGGGACCAGGCCAGGAUCCACUGAGGAUGGAGCUGCUGUGAGGACAAACUCCUCCAGCACUGAGGCUUUGUGGGACAGCCCCAUCAGCAUCUUGCUCUGCAUUAGUGCCAGGUGGUCAGGACUGGGACAGUCAUUUCAGGAUGUUUUCUCUGGAAAGUUUGCUGAUGGGCCAUUUCUUGUUGC